rnacentral:lncRNA from 1 species
AGGCGGAGCCCUAGCUGCGAGUUAGACGUCACCUGCUUUGAUCCUGCAGUCGGACCCAACGAGCCUGAAGAAGAACAGGCACUCGUAUCCGCCGCGCUCCGGCACAAACUAAAAGGAUGAGGCUUCUUGGUCGACUCCGCUCCUCCACUCCUGAGCCUGCCUUUUCCAACGUGCUCACCCCGGGCCGCAUCCCAGAGUUCUGCAUCCCCCCGCGGUUGCCUGUGCCGGACGCUCCCGAAUCACCGCUCCCGGCCGCCUCACUUCCUUGGCGCUGCGCGGCCGAACCCGACCUAUGGCCACGCACCCAUGACGGCCGUGAGAAUGGUGACGAAGACGGCGCGGGCCUCACCGACUGGGACCCGCGCUCUCAGGCUGCGCUCUCGCUGCCGCACCUGCCCCGGGCGCGCACGGUUUACGGCUUCUGUGCGCUGCUCGAGAGCCCGCACACACGCCGGAAGGAGUCGCUCUUCCUCGGCCACCCCGGCACCCCUCGGCUGGGGUUUCGCCACCGUGCGCAUACCUGCGCGUGGCAGCGCCGAGCCUCAGAUUCUGAGCUCGCCGCCCCGCGCGAUCUGGACACAGCCCCAUCAGUCGCUCCUGUGCCCCAUGUGCGCCGCCUCUUGCGCGCUCCCGAUGGUCUGUUGAGCCGCGCGCUGCGGGUCCCCCGCGGUCGGGCCACCGCGCGUCCCGGGUCCCGGGGCGACGAGCGCGAGCGCGCCGCCUCCUGCGCGCCCCCAGCCCCCACCGGCCCGGAUCCCGAGCGCCUGCAGGCCGAGGCCAACGUGGCUCUGGGCCGCGGGGGUUGCACGCUGCGCCUGGCGGCCGAGUACUGUCCGCGCAGCGCCUGCCUCCGCCUCCGCCUACUGCGCGCUGAGGGCCCGGCCGCCGAGCUCGAGCCCCGCGCCCUGGGCUGUCGCCUCAGCCUGGUGCUGCGGCCGUCCGGCCAGCAGCGCGCCAGUGUGGUCCGCCGCAGCCGCAAGGCCGCCCUGGACCAGGACUGCUGCUUCGACGGGCUCCCGGAGGAGCAACUGCGCCGCCUGGCGGUGCGCAUCAAGGCCGAGAGCAAGGGCCGCGGGCUGGAGCGCAGACGACCACUGGGCCAGGGCGAGCUGCUGCUGGGCUCUCUGCUACUGCUCUGAGCGCGGCUUCCCUGGCGUCCUGGACACCUAAGGCCACUUGGCCAUGAGAUGCACAGAGACUCUUGGCCCUAGGACACUCAAGGCCUCUUGGACUCUGACAGUGACGUGGCCCUGGGUCACCCACAGCCUUUUGGCUCUGGUACACUUUCUCUUUUGUACAAAAUAAAAGUUAUUUAUUUUCCUAUUUA